UGGGCGAUCUGCCCUGCACUUCGGGAUAAGCCUGGGAAACUGGGUCUAAUACCGGAUAUGACUACGAAUCGCAUGGUUUGUGGUGGAAAGCUUUUGCGGUGUGGGAUGGGCCCGCGGCCUAUCAGCUUGUUGGUGUGGUUACGGCUCACCAAGGCGACGACGGGUAGCCGGCCUGAGAGGGCGAUCGGCCACACGUGGGACUGAGACACGGCCCAGACCUCCCGUACGGGGAGCA
rnacentral:rRNA from 1 species